AUUGAACGCUGGCGGCAGGCCUAACACAUGCAAGUCGAACGAGUGGCGGACGGGUGAGUAAUGUGUGGGAAACUGCCCGAUGGAGGGGGAUAACUACUGGAAACUGUAGCUAAUACCGCAUACCCUCAGGUGUGCCCAGCGGGGAUUAGCUAGUAGGGGGGGUAAAGGCUCACCUAGGCGACGAUCCAUAGCUGGUCUGAGAGGAUGACCAGCCAAACUGGAAAUGAGACACGGUCCAGACUCCUACGGGAGGCAGCAGUUGGGAAUAUUGCACAAUGGGCGCAAGCCGGAUGCAGCCAUGCCGCGUGUAUGAAGAAGGCCUUCGGGUUGUAAAGUACUUUCAGCGGGGAGGCGUUACCCGCAGAAGAAGCACCGGCUAACUCCGUGCCAGCAGCCGCGGUAAUAC
rnacentral:rRNA from 1 species